rnacentral:rRNA from 2 species
UUAAGCGACUAAGCGUACACGGUGGAUGCCCUGGCAGUCAGAGGCGAUGAAGGACGUGCUAAUCUGCGAAAAGCGUCGGUAAGGUGAUAUGAACCGUUAUANCCGGCGAUGUCCGAAUGGGGAAACCCAGUGCAAUUCGUUGCACUAUCGUUAACUGAAUACAUAGGUUAACGAGGCGAACCGGGGGAACUGAAACAUCUAAGUACCCCGAGGAAAAGAAAUCAACCGAGAUUCCCCCAGUAGCGGCGAGCGAACGGGGAGCAGCCCAGAGUCUGAAUCAGCUUGUGUGUUAGUGGAACGGUCUGGAAAGUCCGACGGUACAGGGUGAUAGUCCCGUACACCAAAAUGCACAGGUUGUGAACUCGAAGAGUAGGGCGGGACACGUGGUAUCCUGUCUGAAUAUGGGGGGACCAUCCUCCAAGGCUAAAUACUCCUGACUGACCGAUAGUGAACCAGUACCGUGAGGGAAAGGCGAAAAGAACCCCGGCGAGGGGAGUGAAAAAGAACCUGAAACCGUGUACGUACAAGCAGUGGGAGCACCUUUAUGGUGUGACUGCGUACCUUUUGUAUAAUGGGUCAGCGACUUAUAUUCUGUAGCAAGGUUAACCGUAUAGGGGAGCCGCAGGGAAACCGAGUCUUAACUGGGCGUUAAGUUGCAGGGUAUAGACCCGAAACCCGGUGAUCUAGCCAUGGGCAGGUUGAAGGUUGGGUAACACUAACUGGAGGACCGAACCGACUAAUGUUGAAAAAUUAGCGGAUGACUUGUGGCUGGGGGUGAAAGGCCAAUCAAACCGGGAGAUAGCUGGUUCUCCCCGAAAGCUAUUUAGGUAGCGCCUCGUGAACUCAUCUUCGGGGGUAGAGCACUGUUUCGGCUAGGGGGUCAUCCCGACUUACCAACCCGAUGCAAACUACGAAUACCGAAGAAUGUUAUCACGGGAGACACACGGCGGGUGCUAACGUCCGUCGUGAAGAGGGAAACAACCCAGACCGCCAGCUAAGGUCCCAAAGUCAUGGUUAAGUGGGAAACGAUGUGGGAAGGCACAGACAGCCAGGAUGUUGGCUUAGAAGCAGCCAUCAUUUAAAGAAAGCGUAAUAGCUCACUGGUCGAGUCGGCCUGCGCGGAAGAUGUAACGGGGCUAAACCAUGCACCGAAGCUGCGGCAGCGACACUAUGUGUUGUUGGGUAGGGGAGCGUUCUGUAAGCCUGCGAAGGUGACCUGUGAGGGCUGCUGGAGGUAUCAGAAGUGCGAAUGCUGACAUAAGUAACGAUAAAGCGGGUGAAAAGCCCGCUCGCCGGAAGACCAAGGGUUCCUGUCCAACGUUAAUCGGGGCAGGGUGAGUCGACCCCUAAGGCGAGGCCGAAAGGCGUAGUCGAUGGGAAACAGGUUAAUAUUCCUGUACUUGGUGUUACUGCGAAGGGGGGACGGAGAAGGCUAUGUUAGCCGGGCGACGGUUGUCCCGGUUUAAGCAUGUAGGCUGGUUAUCCAGGCAAAUCCGGAUAAUCAAGGCUGAGGUGUGAUGACGAGGCACUACGGUGCUGAAGUAACAAAUGCCCUGCUUCCAGGAAAAGCCUCUAAGCAUCAGGUAACAUCAAAUCGUACCCCAAACCGACACAGGUGGUCAGGUAGAGAAUACCAAGGCGCUUGAGAGAACUCGGGUGAAGGAACUAGGCAAAAUGGUGCCGUAACUUCGGGAGAAGGCACGCUGGUGUGUAGGUGAAGUCCCUGCGGAUGGAGCUGAGACCAGUCGAAGAUACCAGCUGGCUGCAACUGUUUAUUAAAAACACAGCACUGUGCAAACACGAAAGUGGACGUAUACGGUGUGACGCCUGCCCGGUGCCGGAAGGUUAAUUGAUGGGGUUAUCCGUAAGGAGAAGCUCUUGAUCGAAGCCCCGGUAAACGGCGGCCGUAACUAUAACGGUCCUAAGGUAGCGAAAUUCCUUGUCGGGUAAGUUCCGACCUGCACGAAUGGCGUAAUGAUGGCCAGGCUGUCUCCACCCGAGACUCAGUGAAAUUGAACUCGCUGUGAAGAUGCAGUGUACCCGCGGCAAGACGGAAAGACCCCGUGAACCUUUACUAUAGCUUGACACUGAACAUUGAGCCUUGAUGUGUAGGAUAGGUGGGAGGCUUUGAAGCGUGGACGCCAGUCUGCGUGGAGCCAACCUUGAAAUACCACCCUUUAAUGUUUGAUGUUCUAACGUUGGCCCCUUAUCGGGGUUGCGGACAGUGUCUGGUGGGUAGUUUGACUGGGGCGGUCUCCUCCCAAAGCGUAACGGAGGAGCACGAAGGUUAGCUAAUCCUGGUCGGACAUCAGGAGGUUAGUGCAAUGGCAUAAGCUAGCUUGACUGCGAGCGUGACGGCGCGAGCAGGUGCGAAAGCAGGUCAUAGUGAUCCGGUGGUUCUGAAUGGAAGGGCCAUCGCUCAACGGAUAAAAGGUACUCCGGGGAUAACAGGCUGAUACCGCCCAAGAGUUCAUAUCGACGGCGGUGUUUGGCACCUCGAUGUCGGCUCAUCACAUCCUGGGGCUGAAGUAGGUCCCAAGGGUAUGGCUGUUCGCCAUUUAAAGUGGUACGCGAGCUGGGUUUAGAACGUCGUGAGACAGUUCGGUCCCUAUCUGCCGUGGGCGCUGGAGAAUUGAGGGGGGCUGCUCCUAGUACGAGAGGACCGGAGUGGACGCAUCACUGGUGUUCGGGUUGUCAUGCCAAUGGCACUGCCCGGUAGCUAAAUGCGGAAGAGAUAAGUGCUGAAAGCAUCUAAGCACGAAACUUGCCCCGAGAUGAGUUCUCCCUGAGACUAUAAGUCUCCUGAAGGAACGUUAAAGACGAUGACGUUGAUAGGCCGGGUGUGUAAGCGCAGCGAUGCGUUGAGCUAACCGGUACUAAUGAACCGUGAGGCUUAACCUU